rnacentral:rRNA from 1 species
CGGGGUAGAGUAACACGUGGAUAACCUGCCUCACACUGGGGGACAACAGUUAGAAUGACUGCUAAUACCGCAUAAGCGCACAGUACCGCAUGGUACAGUGUGAAAAACUCCGGUGGUGUGAGAUGGAUCCGCGUCUGAUUAGCCAGUUGGCGGGGUAACGGCCCACCAAAGCGACGAUCAGUAGCCGACCUGAGAGGGUGACCGGCCACAUUGGGACUGAGACACGGCCCAA